rnacentral:rRNA from 1 species
UACAUGGGGUGCAAACGUUGCUCGGAAUUAUUGGGCGUAAAGCGCACGUAGGCGGUCGCUUAAGUCGGAUGUGAAAGCCCUCGGCUCAACUGAGGAAGUGCAUCCGAAACUGAGUGGCUAGAGUAUGGUAGAGGGUCGCGGAAUUCCCGGUGUAGAGGUGAAAUUCGUAGAUAUCGGGAGGAACACCAGUGGCGAAGGCGGCGACCUGGGCCAAUACUGACGCUGAGGAGCGAAAGCGUGGGGAGCGAACAGG